rnacentral:rRNA from 1 species
CGGACUGAUUAGAGCGGCGGACGGGUGAGUAAUGCUUGGGAAUCUACCUAGUAGUGGGGGACAACAGUUGGAAACGACUGCUAAUACCGCAUACGCCCUACGGGGGAAAGGGGGGGAUCUUCGGACCUCUUGCUAUUAGAUGAGCCCAAGUCGGAUUAGCUAGUUGGUAAGGUAAUGGCUUACCAAGGCGACGAUCCGUAGCUGGUUUGAGAGGAUGAUCAGCCACACUGGGACUGAGACACGGCCCAGACUCC